UGAGCAACCUGCCUUUCANAGGGGGAUAACAGUUGGAAACGACUGCUAAUACCGCAUAACGCUGCGAUGGGGCAUCCCGAUGCAGCCAAAGGAGCAAUCCGCUGGAAGAUGGGCUCGCGGCCGAUUAGCUAGUUGGUGGGGCAACGGCCCACCAAGGCGACGAUCGGUAGCCGGACUGAGAGGUUGAUCGGCCACAUUGGGACUGAGACACGGCCCAGACUCCUACGGGAGGCAGCAG
rnacentral:rRNA from 1 species